AAACAACCCCUUUUGUAAUAAAAUAAAAUAAAAACAAAUAUUUUAUUAUAUUUUUUAAAGCUGAAACGGUAAAAAAACUAGUAUAAUAAAUUUUUCGGGUAUUGGAAUCCAGGCCUGUGACCAAAAGGUCACAUCCGCAAUAGGUCGUUAGGCCGAAGCCGCUUGACAGAUCGGCAACACUAGCCUGACGGCCUGCCGCGGAUGUGACCCGUCGAUCACGGGUCCAGGUUCCAAUACCUGAAAAAAUUAUUAUACCGGUUUUUUUUUCCAUUUCAACAUAAAAAAAAAUAUAAAAUAUUUGGGCGUCACCUAACACAUCGGCG
rnacentral:lncRNA from 1 species